UUCAUGCACAUACACCGACCACAGAUUGCAUGUACACUCUUUCCCUACAAGACUCUCUGCAUUUCAUGCCUCUAAACUUCAGUAGAAACUCAGUCAUACUGGACCAUGGGGUGGUCACUCCAGGGAGGCAGGUUGGAGAGUUUCUCCUCAGUGGCUGUUUCUAUGGGCCAGCCCCAGGCCUUAAAGAACCCAGCCAGGUUC